AACGAACGCUGGUGGCAUGCCUAACACAUGCAAGUCGAACGAGACCUUCGGGUCUAGUGGCGCACGGGUGCGUAACACGUGGGAAUCUGCCCUUUGCUUCGGAAUAACAGUUAGAAAUGACUGCUAAUACCGGAUGAUGUCGAAAGACCAAAGAUUUAUCGGCAAAGGAUGAGCCCGCGUAGGAUUAGGUAGUUGGUGGGGUAAAGGCCUACCAAGCCGACGAUCCUUAGCUGGUCUGAGAGGAUGAUCAGCCACACUGGGACUGAGACACGGCCCAGACUCCUACGGGAGGCAGCAGUGGGGAAUAUUGGACAAUGGGCGAAAGCCUGAUCCAGCAAUGCCGCGUGAGUGAUGAAGGCCUUAGGGUUGUAAAGCUCUUUUACCAGGGAUGAUAAUGACAGUACCUGGAGAAUAAGCUCCGGCUAACUCCGUGCCAGCCGCCGCAGUAAGAC
rnacentral:rRNA from 1 species